rnacentral:rRNA from 1 species
GUCAGUUCGUGUCGUGAGAUGUUAGGUUAAGUCCUAAAACGAGCGCAACCCUUGUCGUUAAUUGCCAGCACGUAAUGGUGGGGACUUUAACGAGACUGCCAAUUAAAAAUUGGAGGAAGGUGAGGAUUACGUCAAAUCAUCAUGCCCCUUAUGAUCUGGGCUACAAACGUGAUACAAUGGCUGUGACAAAGAGUAGCUGAAACGCGAGUUUUUAGCCAAUCUCAAAAAAGCAGUCUCAGUUCGGAUUGAAGUCUGUAACUCGACUUCAUGAAGUUGGAAUCGCUAGUAAUCGCGAAUCAGCAUGUCGCGGUGAAUGC